CACUGAAUAGUGACAAGACUUCUGAAAAUAGGUUAAGCAAAUUGAAAACAUCAUUGGGCCAACUUUUGGGAAAGGACAACUCACAAUAUUCCAGAGAUAGUGUGGUGGAUGUGGUAGGUAUGACUUGGAGUAAGGAAAAUCUAACUUUGAAUCCAGCCUGAAACUAAGGAGCUGUGAGACCCCAAGUAAGUAAUUUUUCUCUAUAUGAUUCAAUUUCCUCAUCUAUAAAAAGGGAAGGGUGACU
rnacentral:lncRNA from 1 species